UCACGGCAGCCACCCCAUAAGGGGUGGACUGGUUGUAUUGUGCUUAGUAGUAGUGUCAAGCAUUAUGGGAGCCUCAGGGGAUCCCUACAUUUAUUCUUCACCACCUCCUCCGUAUGAGUAUAAGUCUCCACCGCCACCUUCGCCUUCGCCACCACCUCCUUAUGUGUAUAAAUCCCCACCACCUCCGGUGCAUUCUCCUCCACCACCCCCAAUGCAUUCUCCUCCACCACCGUAUGAGUACAAAUCACCACCACCCCCGGUGCACUCACCACCUCCUCCGUAUGAGUAUAAAUCACCACCACCCCCGGUGCAUUCUCCUCCUCCGCCCUAUGAGUACAAGUCACCACCACCUCCGGUGCACUCACCACCUCCUCCAUAUGAGUACAAAUCACCACCACCUCCGGUGCAUUCUCCACCUCCACCAUAUGAGUAUAAAUCACCACCACCACCUUCACCAUCCCCACCACCACCAUAUGUGUACAAGUCUCCACCACCACCCGUCAAAUCCCCACCUCCACCAUACCACUACUCAUCACCACCACCACCCGUAAAAUCCCCACCUCCACCAUACCACUACUCCUCCCCACCACCACCUGUAAAAUCACCUCCUCCACCUUAUCAUUACUCAUCUCCACCACCACCAGUCAAAUCCCCACCACCACCAUACCACUACUCAUCACCUCCACCACCCGUAAAAUCACCACCUCCACCAUACUACUACAAGUCCCCACCACCUCCAGUUAAAUCCCCACCACCACCAUACUACUACCAUUCUCCUCCUCCCCCAGUGAAGUCACCACCUCCACCAUACCACUACAACUCUCCUCCACCACCCAAGCAUUCUCCACCACCACCUUACUACUACAAGUCUCCACCACCCCCCGUCAAGUCACCACCCCCACCAUACUACUAUCACUCUCCACCACCCCCAAUGAAGUCACCAC
rnacentral:lncRNA from 1 species